rnacentral:tRNA from 1 species
GACUUGGUAGCUUAGUUUGUAAAGCACUCGUCCUGCAAACAGGAGUUGUGGGUUUGAAUUUCACCUGAGCUC